GAGUGAAAUCAGGUUCAGUCGUUAAGAUGAUAUCAUAUCGGGUCAGGGGCAGGCAGGGGUUCCCUUUCGUCUUGACUUACGACAAUGAACAGACCUACAAGAAAUAGGAGAAUUGUCCUUUAUGAC